UCUCCGGCGCCUUCUCUCAUUUUUCCAGUAGGGUUUCAACUUUGCAGAUCAUUUUGAUUAAAUUAUUGGGCUAUUGGUAUGAGCACGGGGUUAACCUUGUGGUAAUACUUGUUCUAGACAAGAGGUGAUAGUUCCCGUUCGGGUCA